GUUUUUGCAAAUGAGCUCUUCAAUUGGUUUUUUACUUCCAUCUGGCAUUUGGUGAGAGAUCACUGCACCAACACCUACUGGUGAAGCAUCACAUGCCAGCAUAAGUGGCAGAUCUGGGUUGAAAUGUACUAAGACAGUUUGAAAUCAGCUGUUUCUUGGCUUC